rnacentral:antisense_RNA from 1 species
CGCGGGCCGCCGGGCCGGGGUCGCCGCCCGGGCUCGGUCAGUCGGUACCUUCAUGAAGGUCUCUACCGCGCCUUUGGCCGUGUCCAGCCUCGUCCCAAAUGCCGUGGGAGGGAAGGCAUUCUCUGUCAAGCUGCUGUCACCUUACCUGAAGUAAGGAGUCCACGCCUGCAUGUCCGAGGAAAACAGUUUUCUCAAACACAUUAGUUGAAAAACUGAAGACACUGCCUAAAAUACAAGCUGAGUUAGAGACAGCCCUUGUAAGACUAGAAAAAGAAAUGAAAACUAAGUAACAUGAAUUAACAUAGUCCAGGGUCACAAAGCAAAAUGGAACAAGAACCUGGAUCUGAAUUCAGAGGCAGAAUGCUGGAAUCUAAGCCAGAAUGAGGUUACUGCCUAUGCAAAGAAGAAGACAGCUCAUCACAGGCCUGAGAAUCAGGAGAGUCAAUGGUAUUAGUGCUGGUCCGGAAGCCAUCAUGCUUCAAAACCAAGAAGAGCUGAUUUUCCAGAUGGAGUCUAAAGGAAAGGCCUUGUGAGGACAUAACCAGGAAGGAGAGUCCUCACCAGAACCUGACCAUACCGGCACCCUGAUCUCAAACUUCCAGCUUCCAGAACCAUGAGAAAUCAAUGUUUGUUGUUUUAGCCACCCAGUCUAUAGAAAUUUGUUAUAGCCACCCUAGCUGACUACCACAUUGGACAUCACAGC